GAAAAUGCUGCAAAGAAACUAAAGUCAGUAGUCUAGAAACAUUUACAUUUCACUUUUAUGUUGAUAACCACAACAUACCUGCACUUUGUUAUCAAAUGGGUGAUACAAUUUCACUCUUCAUUUGGCUCCAGUCAUGAUAGGAGAGUGAAGGCAGACACCCUGUAGGACUAUCCACAGCUAGGCACCACUCCCCAAGUUUCACACUUCUGAGCACUCCCCUUCCAGGGGAGCACACUGGCUCCCAGCUCUCCACACACUGAGGAACCAGACCUUGCACAAUCCCCAGGAAGCACAAGAAUUCCCUGCAGGCAGUAGUUCAGCAGGAUUUGCUGGAAACAAAUUGUUGAGGUCUAAGGAAGAUGAAGUGGGUGUUGGUUUCUUACCAACAAAGUGUAGGGAAUGGGGAUGUGUCCAUGUAGGGGAAGGAAGUGAGGCAGUGCCAUGGUCUUACAGUGAUUCACAAGUCUGGGAACAGGGAAAUUCAUGGUAUUAAUUUUGUUGUAGCCGUGUCAGCUUGAACCCUGGAGUUCUUCCUCCUGGAAGAACCCAAAGAAAGGCCAUCCCUCUAAGUGAUGGGUUUUCAGAAUGAGAAGAAAAAUUCAGGGUGCAGCAUCCAGGAGUAUUUUGGACCACAUCAGGAAAUAGUUUCAGCACCAAAAUUAUGCUUCUACCUAAUAACAUUUACAAAAAUAUGUCCCUUGCAGAAGUGAAAAAAAAAAAUCUGGCUGCUAAAUGUAAAUACAGAAGGGAACAAGAAGUGGGAAAGUACAUCGUAGAAUAUUUGAAUGUCCCAACUCUUCUGCUUAAGUCUUUGUGAGUGUGCAACAAGACUCUGGAAAGACAUGGUCAAGUUAAAGGAAUAAAUCACUGAUGUAUGCAAAUUCUUUGAUGUAUAUGAAGGGAUAGGUAGUUAAAUUCUUUACUGUGUAAAUUAGUGGGAAGACAGAGAUAAAUUCUCCAGUUUGGAGACAGAAGGGACCCUAAAGUCCAAGACAGCUCAUAUUCCCAGCAGUACAGCUCCACAGAGAAUGCCUCAACAUGUCUGAGGCAUGUACACUGUACAUUCACUGCACACUGGUUCUUUCAAAGAAAUUUCCCAUGAAUCACUGUCAAAGUUGAUGGCAGGCAGGCUGCUGAGAUUAGAAUUUUAGGAUAGAUUAAUGCCAGAGGCACAUUUAGAGUGAAAAUGGCUGAAAUCUCACAAGUUCUUCCAUUUAUUCAUUUAUUUAUUGCCACUCAUCAAGAACAGAGAUCUUCAAUAAUAGCUGAAUUCACAAAAUCUAACAAUUUUCAGAUACAUAUAAACUGAGUAAGAAUAAUAAAACUUACUGAGUUUUGAAUCAAAUUCAAGAUAAAAAUAAAAGAAAAAGAGCAGAUGCACAGAUCUUAACCCUUAGCACAAUUUUCUCUUAAAAAUGGCUAUGCUGGAGAAGAGCAGAAAUGCAGAUGUAAAUACUCCAUACUCCUAAAAUUGCCUGGGUUUCACUCUGAGCUGUACAGAACACACCUGACUGCCACUUUAGGCGUUACCAUCAAAAUGCAACUUGAGACAGUUGAAAAACCUCAAAAAUAUUGUGGUUUUUCUCAAAAUGAACCUAAAAAUGCAUAAUCCAUAUGAUACUUUAGUUAAUUUUCUCUCUUUUCCCUAUGCUUUGCCACAGCUGAUGCAGAGCUGUUAAUCAGAUGACUGAUCUCCUUCUGUGGGGCCAGGGGAAAGCCAGAGCAGUUACCAUGCACCAGUUAUGGGUAGCUGCAUCCAAGUGCAUCAGCAUGAUAAAAACAAGAAAGAAGAAGUUGCAGUUUUCACUCGUUCUUCCCCUCUAAAACUGUGAAACAAUCCAUAUUUAAAUUUACACGAGUCCUAAAUUGUCUGUAGGUCUUCAUUUUCACUUCACAGAUUGGUUUUGAUUACUGACCAGGUAACACAAAUGUAGCAAGAAAUAUUAUUGAAGUGAUAUUAGAAUGCCACCCACAGCUUUUAAAUAAAACUCCUCAAAAGGUCAUUUCAACCCAAGUAUUUUUCAUUACUCAGCUGGACUGGGUGACCUGAGGGAUAAAGCCAGAAAUGUCUUUGGAACCUGUGGCUCUUGCUCACUGGGUGACUACCAGACUGUUCCUCCAAGCAUUUUGGGGCUUCUGCCAAUGCAUGAUGGCCACACUGCUUGGUCUUCCCAAAAGGCAUUUGGCCACAUCAGCUCCCAGGGAUGGGCAGGGAUCCCUCUCCAGCUGCACCCAUGGGCACUGGCUGUGUUUGGUGGCCCUGCUGUGUGAAGGGGCAGGUGGGCCCAUGGGGUCCCUGACCUGCCCUCCAGCUGAGGAUGGGAAGCUUCUCUGUCUCCUUAGCAUGGCCAUGUUCCUCUCUGGGAACCUGGCACCACUCAGAAAGCAGCUGUGAGUACAAACCCCCCAGCACAGCCUUUUGUGGCUCUGCCAGCAGAACAGGCCACAGAAACAUGAGGAGUAGCAACACUGCACACCCCCAGUAGUUUCCUUUUUUUUUUUUCCUCCUAUAAAGCCAACGCAAAACUUUAUACAAGCAACAUUUUGCUUGAGGGCUGCAAGUGCCCUGGGGUGCAAGCAGCUGCAGCCCCCUUGUACCACUUCAGCACCCAAAUUGUGUGUAACAGAUGCUGAGGGCUGUGUGAGAGCCCUGACAGCCUCCUUGCAAUGCUCCAGAGCAAAACUCCCAGAAAUGGACCAGCACAGUUCUCAAAAAUCACUGUUCCCAGUCUGGGCCUGGAGAUCCCUUUUUCAUGCUUGGGGACAAGUUUUGGUCACCAGGAUCAUCACUGCUCUGCUCCCAGGUGUUAUGGUGGGAAGCUGAGUGCUCCGUGCCAUGGCCUGGCUGUGCCAUUUCUCAGCCUGUGCUGGGGUGUGUGAUAGAAACUCCUACUGAGGAUUUUUUUCCCCUUUUCAUCUAACCACACUCAUCUGUUCAGUGGCCCAGCAGUUUUCUUCUGCACUAAUUAUAUUUCAUUCCCUGUCUGAGAGAAAGACUUGACUUUGUGACAUUAAUAAAACAUCACAACAAAUUAUUAAAGGAAAGAUCAAAAUCAGGUAAAGAACAGAGGAAACAAGUACUUUCUGUUAAAAAGUGAUUGCUGACCACUGAAUUAUUAGUGUUGCUACCCAGUCUGAUCUUGCUCUCCCUUUCAUCUCUAUGUUUUGGGGCUAUUUCAGCAGACUUUGGCUAUGAAGCAGGCAUGGGAAAGCAGAGAGAUACAGCAGGAACUGCUUGUGGUUAAGUCCCUGGGCACUUUCCUUGCUCAUGGACUGGGAGGGGGACAGGGUUUUCUUUGUGUGAUCCCCAUGUGCCGAUGGCAAAACACACCCAACAGCAACCUCAAACCCUUGGCCAUUCCACAGAUUAAAUCACAUUUUGUCCUCUUCACCAGUCAAAUUCGGUGCUCCUGCAGGUGUUGAGCAGUGACUGGAAGAUGUCCUUUGUGUGUAUCCCCAGAUUUUCACAGAGCAGCAUUAAGGAUCAGAUGGUGACUCUGAUGGGUUUGUCACUGAGAGAAGCCCCACAGCCUAUCUUCUCCAAGCCCCUGCCUCACUCCUGCUUUCCUAAUCCUGCUCUGCAUCUCGCAAUGCAGAUAAAUUAAUGACUCGAGCACUGCUUCCUUAGUUUUUUCUUUCCUGCUUGUCUCACUCAGGAUUUUCAGUUAGAUCUGCAGAUCUGGAAAUUAUUUUUAAUUAUGAAAAGCAAAGCCAAAAAAGUCUGCUUCUAACAAGGCUUUGAACUGACUCCUUCACACAGAGUUUAUGCCACCCCAAGAGUUCAAGGGAAAAUAGAGAAGAAAACAUCAAAAAUGAAGUGUAUCCCACCACAGAGUUUGAUACUCUAAGUGUAUCAAACUGAGGGCAUACCAGCUGCAAAGAACAGCAGGUAGAAAUGAUGCUGUUACUCACCACAGGCGAGGGUCAGCGAGAUGAGCUGCCGGGCGCUCCUCCCCAUGGCCAGCACGGCUGCGGGCUCUCCUGAGCGGCGCUGCUUCCCCCGGGAGCCCGAGCUUUCCUAACUCUGAAAAGUUUCACUCGGUGCACGGAGUGCUCAGUCACAUGGCUGGGAAGGAGGUGGAGAGAGGGGCAGAGCGAUGCCUCUCGCCUGUAAACUCACGCAGAAGGAAAUAAAUGAUGGUUAGGAAAGAAAGUGAAAAGAGAAAUGACUGCUGGGCUGACUGGGAGGAGAGCUGGGGCUCUGCAAGGCCAGGGAAAGCUUCGUGCAUCUCCCUCAUGUCUGAGAAACUGGUGCCCAGUGCCCCCGCACAGGUUACAGCCUGUAAAUCAGUGCCUCCCCUGUGUUCUUUAGAAAAUACUCUAUUUAAGGCCAAACUCCAUAUUUUUUGUUAAAGCACAGAAGGGAGAUGUGUAACCAUCUCCACAGAGCACCUGCUGAAAGUAAGACAGGGCUGAGCAGAGCCCCAGAUGGGCUCUUGCCCCAUGGAGACCAUCCUUUGCUGUCUGGCCCCGUGCUGCUCCCAGGCGUGCUUCAGCCAAGGUGGAUGGACAGGGGGUCACUGUUAGUGCUGCAUCCAAACACCCCUGUCAGAUAAAGGGCUCCUCUGGCACUCAGAGGGCUCCUCUGGCACUCAAAGGGCUCCUCUGACACUCAGAGGGCUCCUGCACAGCUCCCCAGGCCAGGGCAGGAGCUGUGUGGGCACAGGGGAUGAGCAGCAGGACAGCAUCCCUCACUCCUGCCCUGGGCAUCUGCCAGGGGUCUGCUUGGGGCAGGGAACAAAGCAGCCCCCACGCUGGCCUCUGGUGUGCUCCUAAUUCUUCUUUCCCUCAUAGCAAUAUCAACUGCAGGAACAUGGUGGCAUCAAGGACUUGAAGAGUCAGGUGAGGUGAAGUUUGCCCCCAGAAAUCUGGAUACUGCAUGAAAUCAGCUCCAGUUUAUCUUGCUCUAUUUGCAUUGUGUUUCUACAUUCUAAUUUUUACCUGCUUGCCUUUCUGCAUGAUCCACAAUUUGUAUUUGGGCCAAUUAGCAUUCCCUAAUGAACACUGGUAGCCAAAGGCAUGCAGAUAUCUCAGGAGUAACUAUUAUAAAGUCAUCUACGACUUCCACUGAGCUGUCUGUGUGAACCUUUGCACUCCCCUAAGAGUCCCAGUGAUUCAAAACAUGACUAAGGGAGGUGGGUAAAGGAAAAAAACCCUAUUCUGCCUUUUGACACGUGUGUUGGACAAAUUCAGCUUAUAUUGGACAAAUGUGCCAAUUUUUUCAUCUCUGAUAAUGUGCCUUUGCUGAUAAUUCAUUUAUUUCAGAUAGAAAAAAAAAUCUCAUUUUUCUUGUUGCUUCACAUAAAGACAUCAACCACAGGGUUUUGUACUAGUUAUUAAUUUUAUAAAUUUCAAACAAAGUGUGGUUCUACACAGGUCAUAAUGGCCUAAUUACAGGAAGUUCAUUUGCACACUUUUUUCUUGUAAUAAAUUCAUACAUUCUGUAUUGACUGGAAAAAAGGACAGGUAAUUCUGUGCUCUUUCCCUGUCUGAUUAUCUCUCAUCAGUCACAAUAUACAAAUACAUCAUUAUCAACACCAUGGAAAUCAUGUAAGAAAACAAACUGUACCAAUUCUCAGCUGGGGAGAGGAAAUCUUAGCAGCUAUUUCAGUCCAGCUGCAAGAAGAAAUACACAUUUUGGAUAUUUUUUUCUUAUUAUUCUUAUAUAUUUCUAAUCACAUAUAUAUAUAUAUUUGAAGUCUUUGAGUACUUUUGGAGAGGAAGCACAUGGCCUUUCUCAAUCCUGUUUACCCAAUCCUGUUUGACAUAUCAAGACUCUAAGAAAAUCAUAGAUAAUAAAAUGGCUUCUCAUCACACACACAUGACCAGAACAGGACACACACAGAGCUUUGCUGUCACUGGCGAGGAAAGCCAGAGCUCAGAUGUGGUUUGGCUGCAGCUGUUUGUGUUCAAGACAAGCAGCACUGGUCUGGUUCUCCACCUGGUGGGGUUCCAGGUGAGAGAGAGGAUCAGGCUGAUUCUAUUUUAGCCUGGUUUACUAAAAGCAGGAUUCGUGUGUCUCUGCAGCCCACCCACACCUGAGUGAGCACCUCUGAGGGCAGUUUUGAGCAUGUGAAGUUUCUGAAGUUUCGCAGAAGAGCAGCAGGGCAGAGAGAGGAGAGCCCAGGCAAGCCCUCAGCUGGAGGGCAGGGGUGACCAGCCCAGGCUCAGGGCCAGCAGCAAGGGCUGCUGCAGCACAGAUUUACCUGGGAUCUGGUGUCUUCUACAGCCAAGUUUUAGUCACAACCAUUACUUUUAAUUGACUUCUAAAUGGUCACUAUAGCAUCUUCAAACAACACUGAAAUGAAAUCCUUAUUUGAAAGCUAUGAUUUUUAGGUCCAUCUACCUGAAUAGGAUGGUGUCAAAGACCUACAGACAGAAUAAGCAUACCCUAACAGACACAUUAGUGUUGCUGGACUUUACCAAAUCAUCUUCUAGACUGUACAUGGAAAGUCAUUCCCUUAAUUAUCACUUUGCUUGACAGAAAUACACUAAUUAAAAGACUGUCCUGCAUACUAUUUAAAAAACUCAAAAAGUCAUCAAACUCCAUUUUGUCUCAUCAGCAAAGCCAGAAGGCUGCUCCUUUGUCUUUCCAUCCAUCAGCAAUGUCACAAAUCUUCAAUUUGGCAGUUUCAUACACUCAGGGUAACCCUUCCCUCUCUCUCUCCCACACACAAAAGCUUACAAUUCUCACUAAUGUGCAAUCAAAGCUCCCUAGCCCUUCCCUCUCCUGUGCUUAGGGCAGGGGUAGACAGCAGCACUGUUCCUGUGCAAAAAUUACUGAAAGUAAUACAGAAACCAGAAGGAACUCAUUUUAGAGAGAGGAUAAAGUAAUUGCACUAUAAGAAAAUGUCGCUGCAUAUUUCCUUAGGGGACUGAAAGGAAUCAAUUCUUCCUGCAAGAUGCUGAUAACCACAGUAGACCAAGAGGAUUCAUGUUCCUGAGAGCCUACAUGUCAGUUUUGAGGUAAAUGACCAAUACAAACAGGCAAGCUCCUACCUCUAUCGAACAAAAAAAAUCUUCCAGAAAGGUUCUUUAGUCAUGAACAGAAAAUGUAAAAAAUCACAGAGUUUAGAUAUGGAGGGUUAGAAGAGCCAUGGGAUUCAAUCACCACUGUGCAACUUAUAAUCAAGCAACAAAUCUUCACAAGCAAAAAAAAAAUAAAAA